UGAGUAACCUGCCCUUAACUCUGGGAUAAGCCUGGGAAACUGGGUCUAAUACCGGAUAUGACUCCUCAUCGCAUGGUGGGGGGUGGAAAGCUUUAUUGUGGUUUUGGAUGGACUCGCGGCCUAUCAGCUAGUUGGUGAGGUAAUGGCUCACCAAGGCGACGACGGGUAGUUGGUCUGAGAGGAUGGCCAGCCACAUUGGGACUGUGACACGGCCCAGACUCCUACGGGAGGNAG
rnacentral:rRNA from 1 species